rnacentral:lncRNA from 1 species
UACCUAAUGAAGUAAUGUCUGUAAAAUGCUUUGAGACGCUGGGUGAAUGGAGCCGGACCAAAGACAUGCCAAAGGUCUAACAUCACCAUAGCAGCUCUGCAAGCCCUUCUGUUCUUCAUUCUGGUUCUGGAGCUGCAGCUCCGGUUUGCCCAGAUUUUGCUGAGGUCAGUAGCCUCCUGGAGAGAGCCAGAGGCCUGGGAUGAACCAGCAGAAGCUGUGAGGAGCCCAUUACUCAGCCAGUGAGUCAUGACACAAGCUUGCGAGAGGCAGAACACAGCCUGUGCGGACGUGCCCCCCAGCAGAGGAGCCCCAUCACGGAUGGAGUCAGAUCAGGAAGGACCAGUUCCCAAUGGUGCCUGCUUGAUCCCCGAGACGGAGAUGUAACCCUGAGUGGAGCAGCCCGUCCUCUGCUCCCCGGACUCCUCCCCAACUGGGACUGAGGCUCCUGCACAGAGUGGCUCCCUGGGUCUUGGCUGACUGACUGGAUGCAAUACUGCUUGCAAUAAAA